rnacentral:lncRNA from 10 species
CUGACCUCAGGUGAUCUGCCUGCCUCGGCCUCGGCCAAAAAUCUGUAAACUCUGGGUUCUCUGAGUUUGCUGAAACGCAAAACCUCUGAGCUCACAGCUGCUCACUCAGCCCAAAGUGCUGGGAUUACAGUUGCUGAGACUAUUGAAUUGCAGAAAAUGUACACCUCAUGUCUCGCAAACCUAUGAAUCGUCACAGUGGUUGCUCCGUGGUCUUUGCCUCGUAUCUGUUGUCUAAACCCAAGCCCCAAUGGGGACAUAUGUUCUUAUCCAAGAUGUCCAUUUUCCUCACAAGGCAUAAGCCAGAGAUCUCUGAAAUCCACACAGCCAAGCUCCUCAGGGUCCAUGCUCAGCCAUCCACAUCACAGCAUAGCAUCUGCGGCAGAAUCACUGAAGCAAGAGCGGCAGUUUUGGGAGGGUCAGAAUCUUGUCACUUCCAGCCACGUGACUCCUAAACCACGAUUUCUAAUCUUGUG